AAUGAAACUUGUGCCCAUUGAUAUGGACAGUCACGUUCAUGUCUUAUCAAUGCUUGCUCCGUUGUUAUAUGUACUAAGAUUAUAGAAAGAGUGGCCUAAAGUCAAAUGUCGUUUUAUUGCUGUAAUAUAUUGUUGUCUGUAUAUGUAAAUUGUACGUACACUCUACGAGAGCCAAUAAUGUUUCUUCCUGUUUGAUUGAGAUAUUAGUAAUGUCAUGUUUAUUCUUCUUUUGUCUAAAUGAUAUUCAACCUCAAGAGUAAAG
rnacentral:misc_RNA from 1 species